UUACAGCUAGACUGGAAACUGAGGGGGAGAGAGGGAUGUUCUGUCCUGCAACUGUCAGGUGUGUUAUCGGUGAGCUGUGUUAUCGGUGAGGUGCGUUAUUGGUGAGGUAUGUUAUCGGUGAGGUGCGUUAUUGGUGAGGUGUGUUAUCGGUGAGGUGCGUUAUUGGUGAGGUGUGUUAUCGGUGAGUGCUGGACCUGGUGUGUGAUUGGUGAGGUGUGUUAUUGGUGAGGUGUGUUAUUGGUGAGGUGUGUAAUUGGUGAGGUGUGUAAUUGGUGAGUGCUGGACCUGGUGUGUUAUUGGUGAGGUGUGUUAUUGGUGAGGUGUGUUAUUGGUGAGGUGUGUUAUUGGGGAGUGCUGGACCUGGUGUGUUAUUGGUGAGGUGUGUUAUUGGGGAGUGCUGAACCUGGUGUGUUAUUGGGGAGGUGUGUUAUUGGGGAGUGCUGGACCUGGUGUGUUAUUGGGGAGUGCUGGACCUGGUGUGUUAUUGG
ensembl:lncRNA